GGGGAUUUAGCUCAGUGGUAGAGCGCUCGCUUAGCAAGCACAAGGCCCUGGGUUCGAUCCCCAGCUCCG
rnacentral:tRNA from 1 species